rnacentral:rRNA from 1 species
GUGCCAGCCGCCGCGGUAAUACAGAGGUCCCGAGCGUUGUUCGGAUUCACUGGGCGUAAAGGGUGCGUAGGUGGCCGGGUAAGUCUGACGUGAAAUCUCCAAGCUCAACUUGGAAACUGCGUCGGAUACUAUCCGGCUCGAGGAUCGGAGGGGAGACUGGAAUACUUGGUGUAGCAGUGAAAUGCGUAGAUAUCAAGUGGAACACCAGUGGCGAAGGCGAGUCUCUGGACGAUUCCUGACACUGAGGCACGAAAGCCAGGGGAGCAAACGGGAUUAGAUACCCUUGUAGUCC